AAACAUCCCAUGAUCUCGAUCCUCAGAAGACUAACAACCUCACUCCAACCUCUAAUGGACCCACCCACUUCCUCCCCGCGACUUCUGGCCCUGACCCACCAGCUCCGCCUCUACAAGCCACCGCCUCUGUCCUGGGACGACGACUCCGAGGAGCAGAGAAUCGAAGAAACUGCCGGCAAAGUCGUGUCCCAAGUGGGCUUUGCUGAGUCCAAAACCCCAAUUGCAAGAGACCCAGAAACGUUCAGGCCCAAAAGAGCUGCUGUUUUGAUCUGUUUGUUUGAAGGAGACGGUGGGGAUCUACGUGUCGUUUUGACCAAGAGGUCAUCUGGGUUGUCCACUCACUCUGGUGAGGUUUCUUUGCCAGGUGGGAAAACAGAGGAGGGAGACAAGGAUGAUGGUGACACAGCAACAAGAGAAGCGAAAGAGGAGAUUGGUUUGGAUCCUAAGCUUGUUAAUGUUGUCACUGUUCUUGAACCAUUUUUGUCAAAGCAUCUACUGAGAGUUGUACCUGUUAUCGGUAUACUUAACGAUAAGGAAGCAUUCAAGCCUGCUCCAAAUCCGGCCGAAGUGGAAUCAGUAUUUGAUGCUCCCUUGGAAAUGUUCAUCAAGGAUGAAAACAGGAGGGCAGAGGAGAGAGAGUGGAUGCGUAACAAAUACCUGAUUCAUUUCUUUGACUACGAAACCAACAACAAGAAGUACUUGAUAUGGGGCUUAACUGCUGGUCCAUUUCACCUCAUCAUCAUACUAAAUAUUAGAGAGGGAAAGGAAAAAGCAAGCCUAUUUUCUCAGGAUAGUCUUGCAUUAACCCGCGGAAACCAGCAGCAAGUAUCAAGCAUUUUCUGGGUCUAGAAAAUUGCGGGAACAGACUUGUUGUGAUUGCCAUCUUCUCUUUUCUUCAGGACUUGUUGAUGCGGUUGCCUAGUAACUCAUUGAAACCCAGUCUACACCAAGACAUUUGCCGUCAUUGAUUUAAAGAAAGGAGGGACACUACCACUGUUUGUAAUAUGCUUCUGUUAGGUUUUGCUUGAUGUUAAAGAAACCAUUCCUUGUAUAAUUUUCAUCUAAUUUUUCUUGAUUGUGUCA